CACGCCCUAAACGAUGUCAACUAGGUGUUGGGAGGGUUAAACCUUUUAGUACCGUAGCUAACGCGUGAAGUUGACCGCCUGGGGANACGCGAAAAACCUUACCUACCCUUGACAUGUCAGGAAUCCCGAAGAGAUUUGGGAGUGCUCGAAAGAGAACCUGAACACAGGUGC
rnacentral:rRNA from 1 species